rnacentral:rRNA from 1 species
GAUGAACGCUGGCGGCGUGCCUAAUACAUGCAAGUCGAGCGAACGGACGAGAAUCUUGCUUCUCUGAUGUUAGCGGCGGACGGGUGAGUAACACGUGGAGAACCUACCUAUAAGACUGGGAUAACUUCGGGAAACCGGAUCUAAUACCGGAUAAUAUUUUGAACCGCAUGGUUCAAAAGUGAAAGACGGUCUUGCUUUCACUUAUAGAUGGAUCCUCGCUGCAUUAGCUAGUUGUUAAGGUAACGGCUUACCAAGGCAACGAUGCAUAGCCGACCUGAGAGGGUGAUCGGCCACACUGGAACUGAGACACGGUCCAGACUCCUACGGGAGGCAGCAGUAGGGCAUCUUCCGCAAUGGGCGACAGCCUGACGGAGCAACGCCGCGUGAGUGAUGAAGGUCUUCGGAUCGUAAAACUCUGUUAUUAGGGAAGAACAUAUGUGUAAGUAACUGUGCACAUCUUGACGGUACCUAAUCAGAAAGCCACGGCUAACUACGUG